rnacentral:tRNA from 1 species
GCGGUCAUGGCGAAGUGGUUAACGCACCGGAUUGUGGUUCCGGCAUGCGUGGGUUCAAUCCCCACUGGCCGCCCCA